UUGUGCUCCUUGACAGAGAUUCUAUGGCUACACUACUAAGAAUUCUCAUUUCUAAGUACCUAAGAAAACUUGAAUAAUUCCCAGAGUUUCCAUGAAAGUGAGCUUUCCAAUUUCACUUUAUAUAAUCCACAAAUUGUGACCCUUUGACAAGAAACAUAGAAUGUGAUGCAACAUCCUGAAGUGACCCUAGAGAGUCAAUCAGACCUUUAGCAAGUAAACAAGAAAAAAUCAUGUACUAUAUGAGAUACAGAAGAGGACUUCCGGGUAAACAUGGCUGCAAUCUAGAUGCAAAUCGCUUCCUCUCCCCUGGAACUGAAUGAAAUAGACUACCUCUCCAGUAUGCCACAGCAAGGAAGUGUUGUUAUAGUGGGCAGUAAGGUAACUCAGUGGAUUGAAAGACAGACAGGUGGUCUUGCGUUCAAAUGUGGAUUCAGAUACUUUCUAGCGGUGUGACCCUAGGUAAGUCACUUAACUCCCAUUACCUAGCCUUUACACUCUUUUACCUUGGAAUCAAUACAAUAGUAUUGAUUCUAAGAUGGAAAUUAAAGGUUUUUUGUUUCUUUUUAAAGAAAGCUAUAUAAAUUGUGAUCCUAACACCAUUCUCGUCAGGGCAUAGCUGUUCAUCUACACCUUCCCAAGAUUCUCAAAAUCUCUCUCUUUCAUUAUUUCUUACAGCAAAAUCAUAUCCCAUUAUAUCCAUGUAUCAUGCCUUUGCAAUCAUUCCAGAACUGAUAGACACAUUGUUUUCUGUUUUUGAUACAACAAAAAGAAAACAGAAAAAUAAAUAGUUAGAGGAAAAAAUGUAUGCUUCUGGA
rnacentral:lncRNA from 1 species